UACGAAGGGAGCUAGCGUUGUUCGGAAUCACUGGGCGUAAAGCGCACGUAGGCGGAUUUGUCAGUCAGGGGUGAAAUCCCGGGGCUCAACCUCGGAACUGCCUUUGAUACAGCAUAUCUUGAGUCCGAUAGAGGUGGGUGGAAUUCCUAGUGUAGAGGUGAAAUUCGUAGAUAUUAGGAAGAACACCGGUGGCGAAGGCGGCCCACUGGAUCGGUACUGACGCUGAGGUGCGAAAGCGUGGGGAGCAAACAGG
rnacentral:rRNA from 1 species